GACGAACGCUGGCGGCGUGCCUAACACAUGCAAGUCGAACGCGUCUGUGCUUCGGCACAGAUGAGUGGCGAACGGGUGAGUAACGCGUGAGUAACUCCCCUUGGGGAGGGGGAUAACCAUCUGAAAAGGUGGCUAAUACCCCAUAUUCUCUUUUCUCACAAGAGGAAGGAGGAAAGGUGGCGCAAGCUGCCACCCCGAGAGAGGCUCGCGUCCCAUCAGCUAGUUGGUAGGGUAAUGGCCUACCAAGGCUAUGACGGGUAGCUGGUCUGAGAGGAUGGUCAGCCACACUGGGACUGAGACACGGCCCAGACUCCUACGGGAGGCAGCAGUGAGGAAUCUUGGGCAAUGGGCAAAGCCUGACCCAGCGACGCCGCGUGGAGGAAGAAGGCCUUCGGGUCGUAAACUCCUGUUUGGGAGAAGAACAAGAGAGAAGUUAAUAGCUUCUCUCUCUGACGGUAUCCCGGGAGAACGCUCCGGCUAAUUACGUGCCAGCAGCCGUAAC
rnacentral:rRNA from 1 species